UACGGAAUGUGCAAACGUUAUUCGGAAUCACUGGGCUUAAAGAGUCCGUAGGCGGCUUGUUAGGUGAGGUGUGAAAUCCCCCGGCUCAACCGAGGAAUUGCGCUUCAAACCGGCAAGCUCGAGGAAGAUAGAGGUGGGCGGAACUGAUGGUGGAGCGGUGAAAUGCGUUGAUAUCAUCAGGAACACCGGAGGCGAAAGCGGCCCACUGGGUCUUUUCUGACGCUGAGGGACGAAAGCUAGGGGAGCGAACGGG
rnacentral:rRNA from 1 species